rnacentral:misc_RNA from 1 species
GAUGAAGAACGCAGCGAAAUGCGAUAAGUAGUGUGAAUUGCAGAAUUCAGUGAAUCAUCGAAUCUUUGAACGCACAUUGCGCCCCUCGGUAUUCCGUGGGGCACGCCUGUUCGAGCGUCAUUUACACCCUCAAGCGCAGCUUGGUGAUGGGCGUCUGUCCCGCUCUCCGUAGCGCGGACUCGCCUCAAAGUCAUUGGCGGCGGUCGUGCCGGCUCCUCGCGCAGCACAUUUGCGCUUCUCGGAGGCCCGGCGGAUCGGCAUCCAGCAAGCUACUUUUUAUGACUUGACCUCGGAUCAGGUGAGGAUACCCGCUGAACUUAAGCAUAUCAAUAAGCGGAGGA